GGGUUGGGAUGCAGGGUUGGGAUGCGGGAUUGGGAUGCAGGGUUGGGAUGCAGGCAGGGAUGUGGGCUGCAGAAUAAGGAGCAGGACACAGGCAGGGAUGUGGAGUCCAGGAUGAGAAUGGGAUGCAGGCAGGAAUGUGGGAUGCAGGCAGGAAUGUGGGAUGCAGGCAGGAAUGUGGGAUGCAGGCAGGAAUGUGGGAUGCAGGGUUGGGAUAUGGUCAGGGAUGUGGGAUACAGGACAGGGAGCAGGAUCCAGCAAGGAUGUGGGAUACAGAGGGGCUGGGAUGCAGGAUGGGGUUGGGAUUCAGGAUGAGGAGCAGGAUGCAGGCAGGGAUGUGGGAUGCAGGAUCCAGGAGCAGGGAUCCACAGGGAUGCACAGGGACCCACAGGGAUGCACUGGGAGCAGCGCUUCCCCCCUGCCCCCUCUUCCCUUGGCAAUUCCCAUCUCCCUGAACCCCCGGAUCCAGCCUGGAAUGAUCCCAUGCUCCCCAAAAUCCCACCCUGGCUAGGAGCCCAACCCCUCCAGGGCCCUGCCCCACAGCUUUUCCUGGUUUGCCUUCACUCUCAGACUUCGGGAAGAUGCCAGGAUUCCUUGGGAAGAGGGAUUGGGAUGCCUGGGGCUUCCUGAGGGCAGAAGAGCUGGAGAUCCACAACUCUUUCUAUGGAGCUGGUGCCCUCCUGUCCUUCCCAGAUUCCCAAGGAAAACCAGGCCCAAGCCUCAUUCCCGGCAUCUCUUGGGAACAGCCGGAAUCUGGGGCAGCACAUUCCAGGUGAUGCGUGGUCCCCAAGCCUGGCCCCACUGCCAUCUCAUCCCAGAGAUUUCCAGGAUUUUUUUCAGGAUGUCCACCCCAAUCCUUCCCUGCCUGAGGCCUCUCGGGUCCUCUUUGUUUCCAGUGCCGGAGCUUUCAGGAGCCCAUCCCAGGUUUAUCCUGGAUAUUUCCAUAGCCGGAGCAGGAGCUGGGACAGGAACCAUCCAUGUGGAAGUGUCAAAAUUCCAGCAGGACGAAUCCCGCUCCCAUCUCCAGGAGAAUCCCGGCGCCUCCUUCUCCAUGAACUCCAUGGAAAGCAGCCUUUGGAUCCCAGCACGGGAUCCUUGGAGCUGGAAAAUUCCACCUAGAUUUUCCCAUUCCCAUGGGAGCUGGGAUGGUUGGGCAGCUCCAGGCUGAGGAAUUCCAAGCAGGAACAAGGCAGGAAAAGCAGGAUCCUGAAUCCCGCUGGUUUUCCCUUGCGUCUCUUCCCACUCCUCCCAUCCCUGCUCCACCUCUCGGCACCAGGAGCGGGAUGAGCCGGGGAUUGCGGAUCCCGGGGAAGGAAUUCAAUAAAUAUGGAAAUGGCUGCUCCUCGGGCAGGAGAGGGACGGGAAUGAGGGAUUGGAUCCAUCCAAACACCUGGAAAGAGGUGGAGAAAGCCGGGCUGGGAAAAACAGGGAAAAGGGAUCUGAGGGAGACCAAAGAUUUUCUUGGAAAACGAAUCCAAACCAUGGCACAAAGGGAAAAUACCUUAAUCCAGAAAAGAGAUCCCAAAUUCAGAGAAUAGAUCUGAAAUCCACAAAAUAGAUCCAAAAUUCAGAAAAUAUAUCCCAAAUCUGGAAAAUAUAUCCCAAAUCCACAAAAUAUAUCCCAAAUCCACAAAAUAUAUCCCCAACCCACAAAAUACAUCCCAAACUCAGAAAAUAGAUCCCAAAUCUGGAAAACAGACCCCAAAUCUACUAAAUAUAUCCUGAAUCCAUAAAAUAGAUCCCAAAUCCACAAAAUAAAUCCCAAAUAUGGAAAAUAGAGAUCCCAAAUCCACAAAAUACGGUCACAUUCCAGCCUUUUACCAAGUAAAGCUUCCCCCAGGGAUUUUCCCAGCUUUUCUGGUUCCUCCUCCAGGACCUCCUGAUUCUUCACCUUUCCCCUAUCCCACAUUUCCCAGGUUCCGAAUUCCCGAGCUCCAGGCUCUGCUCCUGGAUCAAUAAAUCCAACCUCGGCUGUGGCCUUUUGGAGAGGAGUUUUUGCAGGACAAGGAGCUUUGGGAACAUUUCCCCCAUGGAAUAAAUCCCAAUUUUCCCUCCAACGCAGCCAGGAAAAUUCCUUGGGAAUUUCCCUGCAGCCAACAAUUUCCCAGCUUUCCCUGCAGCCAACAUUCCAAAGAAUUCCUGGAAUGUGCCACCACCACCAACCCCAUGUGGCAUUGGCAAAUCCCAAGGGCAAAUUCCAUGGGUGACUCUUGGAUCCCGGCACUCCCCAUCCCACGGGAUUGUCUUUUCCAAGAGAUGGGAAGGAGCUGAGGAGAUCCUGGAUUUCCCUGAUCCAAUCCCGGGAAACACCCGGGAGCUCCAAAAGGAUGGAAAAGAGGGGAGGAAGAGGAGGAAUUUCCAUUUUUCGGUGGAAAAUCACCUGGAAUUUCCAACUUUGGAGCUUCGCCGGAGGACAGGACUCGCCUUGGAUGGGUUUUAGGAGGAAUUUUUUCAUCCUGGGAAUGUUCGGCUGUUGGGAAGCUCCAGAGUCGUUAUCUCCACACAAUUUAAUUAAAGUCUGGCGUUAAUGACACAAUGGCCACUAAUUAAUUCAAUUAAUUUAAUUAAUUUAAUUAUUUUAAUUAAUUUUAAAUUAAUUUAAUUAAUUCUCACUCCUGCACAGGAGAUUUUGGGGGGGUGUGGGGACUUUUUUGUUGGGAAGCAAAAUUAAAUUCCAGCCCUGGAAGCACGGAGGGUCCUCGAGAAGCAAAGGGAUUUGGGAACGCGUGGGGAGCAUCCAGGACUGGGAACUGGGAAUGUUUCUGGGAAUAUUGACUGGGAACCAGGAAAAUUGACUGGAAAUAUUGACUGGGAACUGGGA